rnacentral:rRNA from 1 species
GACGAACGCUGGCGGCGUGCCUAAUACAUGCAAGUCGAGCGAAUCUUUAGGAGCUUGCUCCUAAAGAUUAGCGGCGGACGGGUGAGUAACACGUGGGCAACCUGCCUAUAAGACUGGGAUAACUUCGGGAAACCGGAGCUAAUACCGGAUAAUCCUAUUCCUCUCAUGAGGAAUAGCUGAAAGACGGUUUCGGCUGUCACUUAUAGAUGGGCCCGCGGCGCAUUAGCUAGUUGGUGAGGUAAUGGCUCACCAAGGCAACGAUGCGUAGCCGACCUGAGAGGGUGAUCGGCCACACUGGGACUGAGACACGGCCCAGACUCCUACGGGAGGCAG